rnacentral:rRNA from 1 species
UACGAAGGGGGCUAGCGUUGCUCGGAAUCACUGGGCGUAAAGCGCACGUAGGCGGAUCGCUAAGUCAGGGGUGAAAUCCUGGAGCUCAACUCCAGAACUGCCUUUGAUACUGGCAAUCUCGAGUCCGGGAGAGGUGAGUGGAACUGCGAGUGUAGAGGUGAAAUUCGUAGAUAUUCGCAAGAACACCCAGUGGCGAAGGCGGCUCACUGGCCCGGUACUGACGCUGAGGUGCGAAAGCGUGGGGAGCAAACAGG